AGCGGCCCCCGUGGUGAUUUGAGCCGACCGGCUUGCGGCCACGUUAAUCUCCGCUAAAAGGUCGGGUGCGCGCAGGU
rnacentral:ncRNA from 2 species